UGGGGAAUAUUGCACAAUGGGCGCAAGCCUGAUGCAGCCAUGCCGCGUGUGUGAAGAAGGCCUUCGGGCUGUAAAGCACUCUCAGCGGGGAGGAAGGCGAUAAGGCUAAUAACCUUGUCGAUUGACGUCACCCGCAGAAGAAGCACCGGCCAACUCCGUGCCAGCAGCCGCGGUAAUACGGAGGGUGCAAGCGUUAAUCGGAAUUACUGGGCGUAAAGCGUACGCAGGCGGUCUGUCAAGUCGGAUGUGAAAUCCCCGGGCUUAACCUGGGAACUGCAUGCGAGACUGGCAGGCUAGAGUCUUGUAGAGGGGGGUAGAAUUCCAGGUGUAGCGGUGAAAUGCGUAGAGAUCUGGAGGAAUACCGGUGGAGAAGGCGGCCCCCUGGACAAAGACUGACGCUCAGGUGCGAAAGCGUGGGGAGCAAACUGU
rnacentral:rRNA from 1 species